AAUGAACGUUGGCGGUGUGGAUUAGGCAUGCAAGUCGUGCGCGAACUGUAGCAAUACAGGGAGAGCGGCGAAAGGGAGAGUAAUACAUAGGUACCUACCCCCGGGUCUGGGAUAGCGGCGGGAAACUGCCGGUAAUACCAGAAGACGUCCCCGGACCAAAGGGGUGAUUCCGCCUGGGGAGGCGCCUGAGGCCUAUUAGCUUGUUGGUGAGGUAACGGCUCACCAAGGCAAAGGGGGGUAUGGGGCGUGAGAGCGUGCCCCCACUCACUGGGACUGAGAUACUGCCCAGACACCUACGGGUUGCUGCAGUCGAGAAUCUUCGGCAAUGGGCGCAAGCCUGACCGAGCGACACCGCGUGCGGGAUGAAGGCCUUCGGGUUGUAAACCGCUGUCGUAGGGGAGGAAGAGUCUGCGAAGAGCAGAAUCGGACCGAUCCUAGGAGGAAGGGCCGGCUAAUCUCGUGCCAGCAGCAGCCGCCGUAA
rnacentral:rRNA from 1 species